UACGUAGGGUGCGAGCGUUGUCCGGAAUUAUUGGGCGUAAAGGGCUCGUGAGGCGGUUUGUCGCGUCGGGAGUGAAAAUCCAGGGCUUAAACUCUGGGACUGGCUUCCGAUACGGGCAGACUAGAGGUAUGCAGGGGAGAACGGAAUUCCUGGUGUAGCGGUGAAAUGCGCAGAUAUCAGGAGGAACACCGGUGGCGAAGGCGGUUCUCUGGGCAUUACCUGACGCUGAGGAGCGAAAGUGUGGGGAGCGAACAGG
rnacentral:rRNA from 1 species